rnacentral:rRNA from 1 species
UAAGAAUGGCAGGAGCUAUAAUGCAGUCGUACGCUUCUUUUUCCACCGGAGCUUGCUCCACCGGAAAAAGAAGAGUGGCGAACGGGUGAGUAACACGUGGGUAACCUGCCCAUCAGAAGGGGAUAACACUUGGAAACAGGUGCUAAUACCGUAUAACAAUCGAAACCGCAUGGUUUUGAUUUGAAAGGCGCUUUCGGGUGUCGCUGAUGGAUGGACCCGCGGUGCAUUAGCUAGUUGGUGAGGUAACGGCUCACCAAGGCUACGAUGCAUAGCCGACCUGAGAGGGUGAUCGGCCACAUUGGGACUGAGACACGGCCCAAACUCCUACGGGAGGCAGCAGUAGGGAAUCUUCGGCAAUGGACGAAAGUCUGACCGAGCAACGCCGCGUGAGUGAAGAAGGUUUUCGGAUCGUAAAACUCUGUUGUUAGAGAAGAACAAGGAUGAGAGUAACUGUUCAUCCCUUGACGGUAUCUAACCAGAAAGCCACGGCUAACUACGUGCCAGCAGCCGCGGUAAUACGUAGGUGGCAAGCGUUGUCCGGAUUUAUUGGGCGUAAAGCGAGCGCAGGCGGUUUCUUAAGUCUGAUGUGAAAGCCCCCGGCUCAACCGGGGGAGGGUCAUUGGAAACUGGGAGACUUGAGUGCAUAAGAGGACAGUGGAAUUCCAUGUGUAGCGGUGAAAUUGCGUAGAUAUAUGGAGGAACACCCGUGUGCGA